UAGGGAAUCUUGCGCAAUGGGCGAAAGCUUGACGCAGCCACGCCGCGUGGAUGAUGAAGGCCUUCGGGUCGUAAAGUCCUUUUCUGAAGGAAGAACGAUACCACGAGGAAAUGCGUGGUGUGUGACGGUACUUCAGGAAUAAGCCACGGCUAACUCUGUGCCAGCAGCCGCGGUAAUACAGAGGUGGCAAGCGUUGUUCGGAAUUACUGGGCGUAAAGGGAGCGCAGGCGGCCGAGUCAGUCUGGAGUGCAAGCCCGGGGCUCAACCCCGGAAUUGCUUUGGAUACUACUUGGCUUGAGUACGUCAGAGGUGAGCGGAAUUCCAGGUGUAGCGGUGAAAUGCGUAGAUAUCUGGAGGAACAUCGGUGGCGAAGGCGGCUCACUGGGACGAAACUGACGCUGAGGCUCGAAAGCGUGGGGAGCGGAACGGGAUUAGAUACCCCGGUAGUCCACGCUGUAAACGUUGUGCACUAGGUGU
rnacentral:rRNA from 1 species